CGGUAAAACUAAUAGAUUCUUUUGCCAUGGUAAAGCUUCUUUACACUCAUUUACUGUAAAUGACACUGACCGACAGGACUCAGCCGUCACGCGUCAGUUUUUAUUAUAUCCAUGAGCUUACUUUUUAAAUCAUAAUCAUUGUAGGUUGAGCUUCCUUUACAGCUGUGGUCUGGGCAAGUGUUCCUUUAAUCGCACAAUUAUUGUCUCUGCAAAACUUAUUGUCCUUUCUAGUCUAACUACGUUUACUGAAAGACAGUGAAGCGGUACUUGUUAUUUCCAUCAAGCUUUGAUAAAGGUUGUGCACUUUUGCUUCCUUAACAGCUGUGGUCUUGGCAACUGUUCCUUGAAUCGCACAAGAUGUCAGACUGUGGCUCCCUAGAAAAUGUGGACCCUAACGAGAGCAUUUCUGGAAAUAAUAGUUCUAAUGAGAAAAAACUUGAGCUGCCAAGUGAAUUCUUCGAACUGUUGGGAGACGCAGAAGGAAAAAAAGCCCGGAUGUACAGGUGCUUAUUUGAAGGAUGUAAAAUGAAGGUUAAGAAGUACGGCACUCAAAAACCACUGAUAGUCUUCAACGAUACUAGAUUUAACGCCAAAAGACACUAUUUGUCCCACGAUCCCACGAUAUUUAACGAAUGGUAAUCAUCAAGCAGUAUUCUAACUCAAUUUUAUAUUUGAAAUAAAGUAAACUAAAUACACGACAUGUAAAUAAAU
rnacentral:lncRNA from 1 species